CCUGGCUCAGAGCGAACGCUAACGGCGUGCCUAACACAUGCAAGUCGAACGAGAACGGGAACUUCGGUUCCUUAGUAAAGUGGCGCACGGGUGAGUAACACGUGGGUAACCUACCCUUCGGCGGGGGAUAACAGUUCGAAAGAACUGCUAAUACCGCAUACGACCAACACUUCUGCGGGAGAGUUGGAGAAAGGCUUCGGCCACCGAUGGAUGGGCCCGCGUCGCAUCAGGUUGUUGGUGAGGUAAUGGCUCACCAAGCCUACGACGCGUAGCUGGUCUGAGAGGAUGAUCAGCCACACUGGGACUGGAACACGGCCCAGACUCCUACGGGAGGCAGCAGUGGGGAAUUUUGCGCAAUGGACGAAAGUCUGACGCAGCAACGCCGUGUGGGCGAUGAAGGCCUUCGGGUUGUAAAGCCCUGUCAAUGUGGGAAGAAAUUUGACGGUACCCAUAAAGGAAGCACUGGCUAACUCCGUGCCAGCAGCCGCGGUAAUACGGAGAGUGCUAGCGUUGCUCGGAAUCACUGGGCGUAAAGCGCGCGUAGGCGGUCCCUUAAGUCGGAUGUGAAAGUCUGCAGCUUAACUGUAGAAGUGCAUUCGAUACUGGGGGACUUGAGUGUGGCAGAGGGAUGUGGAAUUCCCGGUGUAGAGGUGAAAUUCGUAGAUACCGGGAGGAACACCAGUGGCGAAGGCGGCAUCCUGGGCCAACACUGACGCUGAGGCGCGAAAGCGUGGGGAGCAAACAGGAUUAGAUACCCUGGUAGUCCACGCCGUAAACGA
rnacentral:rRNA from 1 species